GGGACACAGUAGAGAAGUGUGUGUGAACGCUGUGAAAAUGCCUAAUCAUGUACCUACUCAAGAGGUUGUGGAAGCCAAAGGUUCUCCCAGCAGGUCUGGCACGGGCUUUUCGUAUUUUGCAAUAAGGGAAGUAAUUUCAUCCCUGUUUACAGGCACAAGUUAAAUACUAUCCCAAUUAAUACAGUACGUCGUAUGUUUACAGAAAAAAAGAAUCUGAUUGCACUUCUUACUAAAGCAACAUCAUCCGAUGGAAUCACUCUGCAAUGGUUUUUGGUAGUAAGGGAGCACGCAUCACAAGCUGCUGAUCCAGUUGCCUGCUGAGAGCACAGACAUACAUCAACCACCAUAGGAGUAUCUUAGCCACUGGACUGUAGGGCAGAGGGAGGGCAAAGGUUUUUAUCUUUCGCGUUGAGGCUGAGCCACUGUGUGGCAUGGGGAGCCUGAGGAGGCUGAAGGGCUAAACCUUCAGCUCUUGGGCAUUCUGGAAGAUGAUAAUUUUUGAAAUGUGUGGCUGCAGCUUCACCUGAAUUCUGCACAGAAAAUAAAAUGAUCAUCUUUGAGUCUGAAUAUGCAUUUUGCACAGGAUCCUGCCCAUUUUCCCCACUUAGAAGCUUCUAGCUUAUCAAAUUAUCCAGUAGUCAUUCGGUUAGUAAAUGUCAAUGAAUGAUUAUUAAUUGAACUUGCUUAUGCAUUUUACCAUGGUUAAUUCUGCACACUUACUGCUGAACUGCUGGGUGAAUUAGGAGAUUAUUGGUGUGGUGAAUUUGUAUGCCACAUUCAAUGCAUAAUUUGGAGCUUUGCUUUCUCAUUUGUAGAGAGAAGUGUUGGGAUGCAUGGUGAACUGAGAGCCAGUGGACAACACCACCUCAUGUAGAAAUAAAGUUUCCAACCCUAGACAUUGGAGGGAAUCGCCUGGGAAUGUUACAAAGAACAUGGGACGGACCCUGGAUGGCAAAUAAAUGGAGCUGGGAAUGAAUU
ensembl:lncRNA